UUCGGCAGCAAGCUCUCUGCAACUCUCACAUGGUCGCCCACUGAAGCUAAGCAGGGCUCUAUUUGGUCAGUAUCUGGAUGGGAGACCACAUGGGAAAGCUAGGCUGCUGCCGGAA
rnacentral:rRNA from 1 species